rnacentral:rRNA from 1 species
CCCGCUGAAUUUAAGCAUAUAAGUAAGCGGAGGACUGGGAACUAAAGAGGAAGAGCUCAGUAAUGGCGAAUGAACUGGGACUUGCUCAGUGCUGGAAUGGAGUUAUUGAGCCUCUAACUGUGCUGCUGUGGUGCAUAGCUUGCAAGAGCUUAGGCUUGAGCUUCUUGGAAAAGAGCGCCUCUGAGGGUGAGAGUCCCUCCACCUGCCUAAUGCCCCUGCUGAGUAGCGUGCGCUCCUAGAGUCGCGUUCUUUGGGAAUGGAGCGCAAUAGGGUGGUAAGCUGCAUCUAGAGCUAAUCAAGCACUUGAGGCCAACAGCUGACAAGUACUGUGAGGGAAAGAUGAAAAGGACUUUGGAGAGAGAGCUAAAAGUGCUUGAAAUCACUGUGGGUGAAGUGAAUUGAGCGACGAUCUCGACGAGGUUGCCUUGCGGCAUGCGAACUGACUCCAGCUCUGCCUGUGAGACUGGGGGUCAGGCACGCAGCCUGCAGGGCGUGUCUCGUCAAGGUUGCCGUCAGCAGCUGCAUCGCCGGUAGCCCGGCAAGCUACUGCAGCUAGUCUCGGUCAGUUGCGUGCGCGCUUUGGCCGGUGAAUGGGCUGCUUGACAAUGGGGCCGUGGCUCAACUCAUCCCGUCUUGAAACACGGACCAAGGA